UACGUAGGGUGCGAGCGUUGUCCGGAAUUAUUGGGCGUAAAGAGCUUGUAGGCGGUCUGUCGCGUCUGCUGUGAAAAUCCGGGGCUCAACCCCGGACUUGCAGUGGGUACGGGCAGACUAGAGUGUGGUAGGGGAGACUGGAAUUCCUGGUGUAGCGGUGAAAUGCGCAGAUAUCAGGAGGAACACCGAUGGCGAAGGCAGGUCUCUGGGCCACUACUGACGCUGAGACACGAAAGCGUGGGUAGCAAACAGG
rnacentral:rRNA from 1 species